rnacentral:rRNA from 1 species
AGAGUUUGAUCAUGGCUCAGAUUGAACGCUGGCGGCAGGCCUAACACAUGCAAGUCGAGCGGUAGCACAGAGAGCUUGCUCUCGGGUGACGAGCGGCGGACGGGUGAGUAAUGUCUGGGAAACUGCCUGAUGGAGGGGGAUAACUACUGGAAACGGUAGCUAAUACCGCAUAACGUCGCAAGACCAAAGUGGGGGACCUUCGGGCCUCAUGCCAUCAGAUGUGCCCAGAUGGGAUUAGCUAGUAGGUGGGGUAACGGCUCACCUAGGCGACGAUCCCUAGCUGGUCUGAGAGGAUGACCAGCCACACUGGAACUGAGACACGGUCCAGACUCCUACGGGAGGCAGCAGUGGGGAAUAUUGCACAAUGGGCGCAAGCCUGAUGCAGCCAUGCCGCGUGUGUGAAGAAGGCCUUCGGGUUGUAAAGCACUUUCAGCGGGGAGGAAGGCGUUAAGGUUAAUAACCUUGGCGAUUGACGUUACCCGCAGAAGAAGCACCGGCUAACUCCGUGCCAGCAGCCGCGGUAAUACGGAGGGUGCAAGCGUUAAUCGGAAUUACUGGGCGUAAAGCGCACGCAGGCGGUCUGUCAAGUCGGAUGUGAAAUCCCCGGGCUCAACCUGGGAACUGCAUUCGAAACUGGCAGGCUAGAGUCUUGUAGAGGGGGGUAGAAUUCCAGGUGUAGCGGUGAAAUGCGUAGAGAUCUGGAGGAAUACCGGUGGCGAAGGCGGCCCCCUGGACAAAGACUGACGCUCAGGUGCGAAAGCGUGGGGAGCAAACAGGAUUAGAUACCCUGGUAGUCCACGCCGUAAACGAUGUCGAUUUGGAGGUUGUGCCCUUGAGGCGUGGCUUCCGGAGCUAACGCGUUAAAUCGACCGCCUGGGGAGUACGGCCGCAAGGUUAAAACUCAAAUGAAUUGACG